UACAGAGGUCUCAAGCGUUGUUCGGAUUCAUUGGGCGUAAAGGGUGCGUAGGCGGCGCGGUAAGUCGGGUGUGAAAUCUCGGAGCUUAACUCCGAAACUGCAUUCGAUACUGCCGUGCUUGAGGACUGGAGAGGAGACUGGAAUUUACGGUGUAGCGGUGAAAUGCGUAGAUAUCGUAAGGAAGACCAGUGGCGAAGGCGGCUUCCUGGCCUGUUCUUGACGCUGAGGCGCGAAAGCUAGGGUAGCAAACGGG
rnacentral:rRNA from 1 species